rnacentral:misc_RNA from 1 species
UCCCGUUUGACACGGGCAGUCCCUUUAGAGUGCCCAACUUAAUGAUGGCAACUAAAGGCAAGGGUUGCGCUCGUUGCGGGACUUAACCCAACAUCUCACGACACGAGCUGACGACAGCCAUGCAGCACCUGUGUCUACUUUCCCUUUCGGGCACACUUUGCUUUCGCAAUGCUUCCAAGGAUGUCAAACCCUGGUAAGGUUCUUCGUUUAACAUCGAAUUAAAGAACACGAUCCACCGCUUGUGCUGAUCCCCGUCAAUUCCUUUAUGUUUUAGUCUUGCGACCGUACUCCACAGGCGGGAUACUUAACGCGUUAGCUUCGCUACCGAGGGGGUCGAUACCCCCGACAGCUAGUAUCCAUCGUUUACGGCGUGGACUAC